GAUGAACGCUGGCGGCGUGCCUAAUACAUGCAAGUCGAGCGAAUGGAUUAAGAGCUUGCUCUUAUGAAGUUAGCGGCGGACGGGUGAGUAACACGUGGGUAACCUGCCCAUAAGACUGGGAUAACUCCGGGAAACCGGGGCUAAUACCGGAUAACAUUUUGAACCGCAUGGUUCGAAAUUGAAAGGCGGCUUCGGCUGUCACUUAUGGAUGGACCCGCGUCGCAUUAGCUAGUUGGCGAGGUAACGGCUCACCAAGGCAACGAUGCGUAGCCGACCUGAGAGGGUGAUCGGCCACACUGGGACUGAGACACGGCCCAGACUCCUGCGGGGGGCAGCAGUAGGGAAUCUUCCGCAAUGGACGAAAGUCUGACGGAGCAACGCCGCGUGAGUGAUGAAGGCUUUCGGGUCGUAAAACUCUGUUGUUAGGGAAGAACAAGUGCUAGUUGAAUAAGCUGGCACCUUGACGGUACCUAACCAGAAAGCCACGGCUAACUACGUGCCAGCAGCCGCCGUAA
rnacentral:rRNA from 1 species